GAAAUUUAAUUAAUUAAGCCGCUAACUUAAUUCACAGUGUCUAUACAUUGAAAUUUCU
rnacentral:tRNA from 1 species